GCCUUCCUUCGUAGUUCUUAAGUAGUACCUUUCACUCUUAUCACAACAAAUAUAUUCUCGAUUCUUCUUUUCAUCAUGCAAAUAUUAUAUUAGUGCGAGAACCAUAUAUAAAUCUCAUAUCUAUAUAAACUAGUGAAAAUAUAUGCAGUUGUGUUUCUCUCUGGUGUUUCACUGAUCGAUCAUUGUCUUGUGUUGGAGAUGAAUGAGCCUAAGUAUGGUUACCCGUAUCCACCUGCUCAAGGGCCUUAUCAAGGACCUCCUGUGAUGGCUCCUCCACAAUAUAAUGCUGCUCCACCACCAAAAAGAGAACCAGGUUUCCUUGAAGGAUGCCUUGCAGCGUUGUGUUGCUGUUGUCUCUUGGAUGAGUGUUGCUGCGACCCCUCCAUUAUAUUUGUUACCUGAUAAUGUUAUCAUCUUUUGGAACAAAUUGAAGGGACAGUUUGUGUUUCAUGUCUUUAAAUACACACAAAUUUGUACCGACCAUCAAAACAUAUACCUGUAUCUUUAUAAAUAUAUGUUUGAGUACCACUAAAUAUAUUUAUGUUUGUGUGAA